rnacentral:rRNA from 1 species
AUUGAACGCUGGCGGCAUGCCUUACACAUGCAAGUCGAACGGCAGCGGGGGAGAAGCUUGCUUUUCCUGCCGGCGAGUGGCGAACGGGUGAGUAAUACAUCGGAACGUGCCCUGUAGUGGGGGAUAACUAGUCGAAAGAUUAGCUAAUACCGCAUACGACCUGAGGGUGAAAGUGGGGGACCGCAAGGCCUCAUGCUAUAGGAGCGGCCGAUGUCUGAUUAGCUAGUUGGUGGGGUAAAGGCCUACCAAGGCGACGAUCAGUAGCUGGUCUGAGAGGACGAUCAGCCACACUGGGACUGAGACACGGCCCAGACUCGUACGGGAGGCAGCAGUGGGGAAUUUUGGACAAUGGGCGAAAGCCUGAUCCAGCAAUGCCGCGUAUGUGAAGAAGGCCUUCGGGUUGUAAAGCACUUUUGUCCGGAAAGAAAUGGCUCUGGUUAAUACCUGGGGUCGAUGACGGUACCGGAAGAAUAAGGACCGGCUAACUACGUGCCAGCCGCCGCAGUAA